ensembl:lncRNA
GUGGAUAGUCAUUAGUGCGUAUAAAUAACUGUGUGUGGGUGAAUGAGUGGUUAUGCGUACGUGUGUGUGUGUGUGUGUGUGUGUGUGUGUGUGUGUGUGUAUACUGUAAAUGUUCUUCGGUGACGAUAAAUAGAACCAAAAGUAUUUUGAUGAUUAUCAUGAUAUGGGAUAUGGGCCAGAUCUUCUAACGUACUAACUAAACCCACAGCCUGGCAUUGUUCUACUAAAUAGAACCUGGAAACUUGUGACUAAGAAAGAAAACAGAGGUAUUAAGCUCUGUAUGAUCUAAGUGGCAUUAUGGAGAGUCUUCAAAACAAAUACCUGGGUAAUGAUGAUGCCUGCAGAAACUUUCAUGCCGAAUGUCCGAGGCAUAGCAACAAAUGCAUAGUAACAACGUACACAAGGAGGACGCUCCAGCCAGAGGCGACGGCGGCAAGGAAAAACAUCCUGAGACGAUAUGAGGAAGGAACCUUGAGAGGAACCAGACUGGAAAGGGAACCCGUCCUCAUCUGGGUGACGACGGAUAGUAAGGCUCUGCUAGCAGAAAUGCCUUGUUGAUGCGAGAGCUCAGAGGAGAAUGGUCAGACUGAUUCGAGCGCACUCUUUACAACUAUGACCAGGACCCUUUAGCCCCUCCUCCCUUUUGCUUCCAUAUCACCUGACUGUGUUUCAGCUUCAUGAUGCCUCUGUGACUCAUGCGUGAUGGCUGGAAACAAACUCAGCUAGUGGAACAAGUCGGCCCCAGUCAGAGACGCUGGGACUUUCCAGUCGAGCCAAGCUUUCGUUCAUUUGGACUGACCCGUGCAAAUAUUUCUCUGUGCAUAAAAAACAAAAAGAUCAAACCCAUACUGCACUCUUUCAUGAUUUUUGUGUUGCAUUAUUGAACUCAGACAUAUGCGUUAAUGAACUGUAAGAUGUAUAAUUACAUAUAUAUAAUGUAUAAACAUAUAAUGUAUAAUUAUUAUAUUUGAGUUUUUAAAUGAUUUUUAAUUUUUUUUUUUUUUCGAAAUUCAUGUCAAAAGCAAAGAUACAUUAGCAGAACUAUAACCAAUCAAAUCUUCACAUC